AUCUAUGGCCAUAUCUCCCUGAAUGUGCCCAAUCUUGCCUGAUCUUGGAAGCUAAGCAGGGUUGGGCCUGGUUAGUACUUGGCUGGGAGACUACCUGGCAAUACUGGGUUCUUUAGGUU
rnacentral:rRNA from 1 species